CCUACGGGAGGCUGCAGUGAGGAAUAUUGGUCAAUGGACGAGAGUCUGAACCAGCCAAGUAGCGUGAAGGAUGACUGCCCUAUGGGUUGUAAACUUCUUUUAUAUGGGAAUAAAAUGUUCCACGUGUGGGGUUUUGUAUGUACCUUAUGAAUAAGGAUCGGCUAACUCCGUGCCAGCAGCCGCGGUAAUACGGAGGGUCCGAGCGUUAUCCGGAUUUAUUGGGUUUAAAGGGAGCGUAGGUGGAUUGUUAAGUCAGUUGUGAAAGUUUGCGGCUCAACCGUAAAAUUGCAGUUGAAAAUGGCAGGCUUGAGUACAGUAGAGGUGGGCGGAAUUCGUGGUGUAGCGGUGAAAUGCUUAGAUAUCACGAAGAACUCCGAUUGCGAAGGCAGCUCACUGGACUGCCACUGACACUGAGGCUCGAAAGUGUGGGUAUCAAACAGGAUUAGAUACCCCUGUAGUC
rnacentral:rRNA from 1 species